rnacentral:rRNA from 1 species
MGCUGGCGGCGUGCUUAACACAUGCAAGUCGAACGAAAAUACCAAGCUUGCUUGGUUGAUUAGUGGCGAACGGGUGAGUAACACGUGAGUAACCUGCCCCUUACUUUCCUGGAUAACUGCUCGAAAGGGUAGCUAAUACGGGAUAUUCUGACCAKCCUGCAUGGGUUGGUUUGGAAAGGUUAUUUUUUUCUGGUAAGGGAUGGGCYCSCGGCCUAUCAGCUUGUUGGUGGGGUGAUGGCCUACCAAGGCUUUGACGGGUAGCCGGCCUGAGAGGGUGGACGGUCACACUGGGACUKAGAUACGGSCCAGACUCCUACGGGAGGCAGCAGUGGGGAAUAWUGCACAAUGGGCGCAAGCCUGAUGCAGCGACSCCGCGUGAGGGAUGAAGGCCUUCGGGKUKUWAACCUCYUUYGKCARGGAACAAGGCMCUUCUUUUUGGUGGUUUGAGGGUACCKGAUAAGAAGCGCCGGC